CUUGCCCGUAAAUCCGUUUCACUUGCGCGUGCCGCGUCAACAGAAACACGCCGCUUUUCUUUCUUUCUUUUUCUGGUGGAAAUGGGGCACAACAUCGAAUAAACGAAGCUUUGCACAACACGUUUACAAACGGACAAACACGAAAUAACAACCACUCUGACUCAUCAUUAACAUGUCUAAUUGACCAACGAUUUGGCGGCUGUCCAUUGUAUUUGUUAGGUUGUUAAUUAUGCUGUUUCUCACUGGUCAACCAAGCGAGACUGUACCAGUAAUCAUGCAAGCCGUUCGUUUUCUUGCAUUUCGUGACUUGCUCGUCCGGCUCCUUUUGCCGACGAGAAGCAGCCUAUAUUUCUCGCUUUAUCCCCAGCAGCAAUACUCUACAAAACGAAAUAUUGUCCCUCCAUUUAAACCCCAUUCAACCAGGUUUAAUGUCCUCGACAUUGAGCCACAAUAUGUAAGGAAUAUCGUUUAAAGGCCGCAGGCCAGCUGACAAUGGACAUAAAUCGGAGGGGCCGAGGGGCCAAAGAAACUAAACUGAAACAUUGUUUGCCGUGAGUAUUUUCUAAACAGCAUGUGCCUUAUAUCUUAAAUAAAUAAAUAUAAAAUAAUCUAGACGGACAUAUGUUAGAACUUUGUUUUGUUUUGUCCAUAUUCAAACUCUUCUAGGUGGCGCCCCAACAGCUCAUCGAAAUGCACGCAGCGCGAAUUCGAAUCCACAGCGAGAUUUGAGCGCGGGAAGCUGUUAUGUGCCAGUAUGCUGGGGUAGGCUUGACAACUCAAAAUUUUCUAUUUGUACUUACGAAGCAGCAGUAUUUGACAGAAAAGAAUAAUACUUUGAUGCUCUUCUCACGCCUACAAGCGAGGGCGGCGUGAUUAACAACACAGCGUAAUGCGCAACGGUGAACGCCAACGAACUGCGUGCCGCCACCAACCUGGACGAAGCAUUUUGGACUGAAGCUGUCUUGAUAUCUACAAUACAUUGGACACUACAUGCAGGAUUAUGAAUGGAUACCUGAACACUGCUUGAAGGAGCAAGCUCUACAGCAUCACUUAUGCUCCUUUCCAUGGGUUGGCAAGAGGAACCGUGGCACGCAACUCUACAGGCACCUGUGCUCUUCACUACCUUCGGAGGAGAGAUGCAUUGAAUGCUCCCUAUCAUGCACUGCCAUCUCAACAGUACCAUGGCUUUUUGUGUGGAUUCCUUCCCUUUUGAAGGCCACCACUGUUUGCACAGCAUCACAGCCUGCCUGCCUUGAUCUUGCGGAAGAAGAAAAUACAAAAUGCCUAUUUUUUGAAAUGCAUGCAUGGCUUCAUGCAACACCACCUGUCGUCGGGGUGUUAAGGCUUUUUGCAGAGAAAAUGUAAUGACGCCUUAUGUGUGCCCUGGUGGCAAAGUGUUUGCCUCUUUGCCUGUGUAAAAAUUUCACACUUAUGGAUACUGUUAAAGGUUCCUGUAUCAUAUUUUCUUUCACAUCCUAAGAAAUUUUUGUUUCAUUAUAAAACUAAAAAUUAUAGUUGAAUUGCUGCUUUGUGUGAUAUGCAAUAUUCAGCUGAAGGUGAUCAGCAGAGGUCGAACAAGUGUUAUGUCAGGUGGAGAAAUUUUUUUGAGAAGUGGACUUCUUCGUUAGGGUAACAACCGUUUUCCUUGGCAGUAUUUAUAUAGUUCACUUUUCUCCACUCCAUGGAUAUCCAGCAAAAUGAGUGAGUGCAUAGAGAAGGUGAGGUAAGUUUAAAUGCUCACCAGGGGGGUUUAGUUGGGGUAGCAAGGUGUGUAGAAGUAUGCGAGUUUGACAGGUUGCUGGCACCAAUUUCUAUGAGUGAUCUUGUUGUUUGUGUCUAUGUCAGUUAUAUAAUGCGAGGCGUCUUCUGACGCCAGAAAUUUUGAAAAAGAAAAACUCCUUAUAUUUGUGGAAAUUCAGUAUGUGCCCCUGGGGCUACUACGAGCACUUGGGGCCACUGGGUAGAUGCAGCUCUCCAAUGAACUUUUUUGACACAAACUUGUGUAUGUACGCUGGGUGUGUGCCACUGCAUAUGUGCCACUCUUUAAUGAACCUCUUUGAUGCUGACUUAGGUCAUGGGGCAUCACAACACAAACCUAUGUAGCGACAUCUGUGUAUGCAAGUAAGUGUGAGCUGGAAUUGUCUGCUUGGAUUUUCUUUCCCUGAUGACGACUAGUCCCCUUGUUGAAUUAACUUCAGCCUGAGAUAUCACCUGUUUGUCUACUGUUAUCACAUUAUGCCCAUUUUGCUGUGAACUUGUCAUGUUCUCUAGCUGGCAAGCUUGAAUUUCAGGUGCUGCAUGCUAAGGAAAUUGAUUCAGAGUGGGUGGUACCACUUCUGCUUUUUCUUUGCAGCUGUGUGUUACAUGAGAGAAUAAGUUGUACGUAGAUGUCUAUUAGAAAUAGCAUAGGUAUUCAAAGGUACUUUCAUUAUGUUCUAGGUCAUUGGUGCUGUCUGGCCUCCUUUGCAUCAUUUUUUGUAGCAUGCUUUUUACAUGCAAAAACAAAUGUGGCCUGUUCUAAUGCGUGCAAGGACUGCCCAAUAGCUCAUGAUGUUUUGAGCCGCUGAAUUUCAGUCUUGGCUGCACUUGUGGAUUUUCAACUGUACUGAAGCUUGCAAUAUGCUUGAAUUUCCUGUCAAACUGGUUUGCUUGUUUGUAUCCAAUUUAUUGAAUUAUUUCACUUUCAUUAUGCUAAUAGUCAUUGAUUGUACUAUCAUGCUGGCACAUUUGAUUCUGGAACUGCAAUAAAUUUCCAGACAUAUUAUUGCUUUGUCAU